rnacentral:tRNA from 1 species
GGUGGCUCAGUGGUAGAGCUCUUGCUUUGCAUUCAUGAGGCCCUGGGUUCGAUUCCUCAGCACCA